rnacentral:rRNA from 1 species
GUCUACUGCUAUAACACCCUGAAUCGCCUAGUCUCUUCUGAGACCAGAAGCUAAGCAGGGUAGGGCCUGGUUAGUACCUGGAUGGUAGAAA